rnacentral:rRNA from 1 species
AUACGGAGGGUGCAAGCGUUAAUCGGAAUUACUGGGCGUAAAGCGCGCGUAGGCGGUUUUGUAAGUCGGAUGUGAAAGCCCAGGGCUCAACCUUGGAAUUGCAUUCGAAACUGCAUGACUAGAGUAUGGUAGAGGGAAGUGGAAUUCCAGGUGUAGCGGUGAAAUGCGUAGAUAUCUGGAAGAACAUCAGUGGCGAAGGCGACUUCCUGGACCAAUACUGACGCUGAGGUGCGAAAGCGUGGGGAGCAAACAGGAUUAGAAACCCCGGUAGUCC